CAAUAGCGUAUAUUAAAGUUGUUGCAGUUAAAAAGCUCGUAGUUGGAUUUCUGGUGGGAGCGAUCGGUCUGGCGCUUAGCGCGAGUACUUGCAUCGUCGCCGGCCAUCCUUGGGGAGAGUCUGUCUGGCAUUAAGUUGUCGGGCAGAGGAUCCUCAUCGUUUACUGUGAAAAAAUUAGAGUGUUCAAAGCAGGCUUAUGCCGUUGAAUAUAUUAGCAUGGAAUAAUAAGAUAGGACUUUGGUACUAUUUUGUUGGUUUGCGCACCAAAGUAAUGAUUAAUAGGGACAGUUGGGGGUAUUCGUAUUCCGUUGUCAGAGGUGAAAUUCUUGGAUUUACGGAAGACGAACUACUGCGAAAGCAUUUACCAAGGAUGUUUUCAUUAA
rnacentral:rRNA from 1 species